rnacentral:rRNA from 1 species
CAGUAGCCACGGGAAUACCAGCAGCCCAAGUGGUGGUCGCGUUUAUUGGGCCUAAAGCGCUCGUAGCCUGACCGGUAAGUUCCCCGUGAAAUCGGGUCGCCCAACGAUUCGGCUUGCGGGGAAUACUGUCGGUCUUGGGGCCGGGAGACGCCGAGGGUACUCCGGGGGUAGCGGUGAAAUGCUGUAAUCCUCGGGGGACUACCAGUGGCGAAGGCGCUCGGCGAUAACGGGCCUGACGGUGAGGGGCGAAAGCUGGGGGCGCGAACGGGAUUAGAGACCCCGGUAGUCCCUGUCUCUUAUA